CCUAACACAUGCAAGUCGAGCGGUCGUAGCAAUACGGCAGCGGCAGACGGGAGAGUAACACGUGGGAACGUACCCUUCGGUUCGGAACAACCCAGGGAAACUUGGGCUAAUACCGGAUACGUCCGCAAGGAGAAAGAUUUAUCGCCGGAGGAUCGGCCCGCGUCUGAUUAGCUAGUUGGUGGGGUAAUGGCUCACCAAGGCGACGAUCAGUAGCUGGUCUGAGAGGAUGAUCAGCCUCACUGGGACUGAGACACGGCCCAGACUCCUACGGGAGGCAGCAGUGGGGAAUAUUGGACAAUGGGCGCAAGCCUGAUCCAGCCAUGCCGCGUGGGUGAUGAAGGCCCUAGGGUUGUAAAGCCCUUUCGGCGGGGAAGAUAAUGACGGUACCCGCAGAAGAAGCCCCGGCUAACUCCGUGCCAGCAGCCGCGGUAAUACGAAGGGGGCUAGCGUUGCUCGGAAUCACUGGGCGUAAAGCGCACGUAGGCGGCUUCUUAAGUCAGGGGUGAAAUCCUGGAGCUCAACUCCAGAACU
rnacentral:rRNA from 1 species